CUUGUCGAUCGUUAGGGAGCCCUUCAACUCGUCGGUUUGAGCAGAGAUCUGGAAGCAUCGACAGGCGAGCUAUUGGUCUCCGCGCAUCUCUCCGACUCCAUUUUUGGUCGAAAAUUGAACCAGGAGAUGGUACGUCGAGAUGAUCGCUUUGAGGGCGUUUAGUCCGGGUCUUCCGAGUAUGGCAUUGUAGGCUGAAGACACCUGGACGACCGCGAAAGUCAAAUGGACUGUGCUUUAUCGUGAUUCGGUACCAACCGUCACGG
rnacentral:lncRNA from 1 species